rnacentral:rRNA from 1 species
UACGUAGGGCGCAAGCGUUGUCCGGAAUUAUUGGGCGUAAAGAGCUCGUAGGCGGCCUGUCGCGUCUGCUGUGAAAUCCCGGGGCUUAACCCCGGGCGUGCAGUGGAUACGGGCUGGCUGGAGGCAGGCAGGGGAGAAUGGAAUUCCCGGUGUAGCGGUGAAAUGCGCAGAUAUCGGGAGGAACACCGGUGGCGAAGGCGGCUCUCUGGGACGGUACUGACGCUGAGACGCGAAAGCGUGGGGAGCGAACAGG